GAUGAACGCUGACAGCAUGCUUAACACAUGCAAGUCAACCUGUGGCGGACGGGUGAGUAACGCGUAAAGAACUUGCCUCACAGGUAGGGACACCAUCCGGAAACGAAUACUAAUACCUGAUAUUGUGAGAGAGCGUUGUGUCGCAUUAGCUAGUUGGCGAGGUAACGGCUCACCAAGGCGAGGUUGGGUAGCCGGCCUGCGAGGGUGAUCGGCCACAAGGGGACAGGGAAGCCGCCCUUAGUCAUGCGGGGGGAAGCAGUGGAAAAUAUAGGGAGAAAGGCCGAAGUGUGAAGAAGCAAUUCUGUGUGUAAAAUGCAGUUUUCGGGAUGUAAAGGGCUUUCAGUUACGGAACGGUACCUACACAGAAAGUGACGGCUAACUACGUGCCAGCAGCCGCGGUAAUUC
rnacentral:rRNA from 1 species